rnacentral:rRNA from 1 species
UACGGGAGGGCAGCAGUGGGGAAUAUUGCACAAUGGGCGAAAGCCUGAUGCAGCUAUGCCGCGUGUAUGAAGAAGGCCUUAGGGUUGUAAAGUACUUUCAUCGGGGAGGAAAAAACAAAACUAAUAAUUUUAUUUCUUGACGUUACCCGAAAAAGAAGCACCGGCUAACUCCGUGCCAGCAGCCGCGGUAAUACGGAGGGUGCUAGCGUUAAUCAGAAUUACUGGGCGUAAAGAGCACGUAGGUGGUUUUUUAAGUCAGAUGUGAAAUCCCUGGGCUUAACCUAGGAACUGCAUUUUGAAACUGAAAUACUAGAGUAUCGUAGAGGGAGGUAGAAUUCUAGGUGUAGCGGUGAAAUGCGUAGAUAUCUGGAGGAAUACCUGUGGCGAAAGCGGCCUCCUAAACGAAUACUGACACUGAGGUGCGAAAGCGUGGGGAGCAAACAGGGAUUAGAUACC